AUCGUUCAAGUCGGCAUACUUGCCCACACAUGCCCUGCUGUCAGUUCAGGUAGUACCACCGACGAACAACGGUGCACAGAUUAUCAAGUCUGAAGCAGGAAUGUUUGAAAGGGUACAGCCACGAUGGGCAUCGUGUCGUUCAGUUCAUUUGAUUUGUAAGGAUUUGCAAGCAAGCAAGCAGCAGUAUCUACGUAUUACUUGGCAUUAAAGGAGCACAGAAGCCA